GAGCCUUCCCCGUGUGCGGCAUCACCCAGCUCUGUCCUUCGUGCCUCCCGGGAGCCCAGGGAGUCGGGGCCACCGGACGCUGGACCUGAGAACCUGGACCCAGGCCCGGUCUGCCCGGGAGUUGGCAAGUGCUGAGCACUGUGUCCCCUUGCACGGCCACUCGGGGCCUCCACGCACCUAAAGGACAGCUCCUGAAGCAUCCUGGCCCUGCACUCACGGUGGCACGCGGGCGCCGUCCCCGAGCCCAGGGGCCAGGCCCAGGGCCCUUCCCCGAAAUCUGCCAUGAAGGUGAACUCGGUUACACUCAGGCCCAGGGCUCCCGAGGCUGGUGGCGGCUGCUCCGCAUGAGGCCUGCUGGCUCCCAGGGGCCGCCCUCCCUUGAGAAGGGGGUGCCCACUACGGCUGGGCCAUCUGCAAGGGGCCCGGUGAUCACAUUAUGGAGUCAUUUUUGAACUGGGUUCUAUUAACUACUAAUUAGUGAGCCACAGUCAUGACAUCCUUUGUAAGGAAAAAUGUUCCUAACUGAAGCGCUCGCCCAUGUCCGCGGUGAGACGCCUGCAUGGGGCGGUCUCUGCUUCUCCCCAAGGACCCUCCUCGCCGCCCGCUCGGCUGCACCGGCAGAUGGUGGCAGGGGACAAGGACGGCGCGGUGGGCCCCGCGCCCAGCUCACCGCGAGUGCUGCUCCCUUCACAAAACGCUAGAGAGACCAGCACCCUCCUUGCCCCGCCCCUGCUUGGGGCCUCUCUGUGCUUGGAGAGGAGGCCCAGGCUUCCUCCUCUUCCUGGAGCGGGCGUGAGGAGGGGUCUGCAGGCUCUGUCUCCCGGACAGAGCAGCCUGGAAAGUCCCGUGCUCCGGGGACGCCUGUCUUUGACUCUGUUCUCCUGGGCCGCAAGGCUGAGGCCCGAGUGCGGAGGCUGCACCUGCUCAGCUCCACUGUGACCUCUUGGUGCCGGGGACACGCCUGCCCCCGCGCACAUUGCCGCCCGGCCCACCUCCUGUCUGAGCCCUCUCAGCAGACAAGGUCCUUGGUGCCUGGAGUCAUCAGGACAGAUGGUGGAGCCCAAGUCCCUGUGUGGGGAGGGGAGGAGCAAGUCCUAGUGUAGGGAAGGGGUGAGUCCCAGCGUGGUGAGGGGGUGUCUUUCCCGUCCAUGGUGCCCCGUCGAAGCUCCACACACUGGACAGGCCACAAGUUCUCAUGGGACUCGGGCCCAUGCCUGGCCCAGUGUGGACGCCCUACUGAAGCGGCAUCCCAGGCCCCAGCAGCUCAGACUCCCCCCAGCUGCCCUCCCCAUGCCCAGCUUGAUGGGUACACAGUGUUGCCCGCUAGUGUCCACGCCCUCCCGAGGGGUCCCUGGGCUACAGCAAUGUUUGGUCUGAGUGAAUGAGCCAUGGGGGAACAGACGCCCCUGUAGCUGCAGACCCCCUGCCACAAAGCACAAGGUGGCAGGGGGUGUCCCAGAAGGCCCCGCAGAGAAGGCAGCUUCGCACCAACCUCGUGAGGCCUUGGGGGUCAGCAGCUGGGCCAGGAGCUGACCUGGGAGGCAGGGAGGCAGGGAUUACCUCUGGAGCCAUAUCUGGGGCUGGGACUUUGCCUGAGCCAGGUGUUCUAGGAAUGCACUUUAGCUGCAGAGUCCUUAUCCAUCUGGCUCAGCGCUGGGGAGGGCAACAGGGAGUGGUGGGGUCUGUGGCAAAGUGAGGUGCCGCCAUGUCCACGGGCGGCUGGUGCUGAGCUCACAGCUGCUCUGGGCAAACUUUUUCCAUAGAUGCCUCAAAUCUGAAUUUUUAGGAAGCAUAUCCAGAUUUUAAGGUGUUGACUAACUACUAUUUCACCUAAAAAAAAGCCACUGAGCCGGCUCCCCCAUGUGGGCCGGACACAGCAUUGUACUAGAAUCCCAGCAGCGAGGGGGAUCCCGCACUUCCUGGGGGCCUGCGGGGGCUGCAGUGGGUGUCUGGGAUUCCAGGGUGGGGGCGAAACCCUGCUUUUGAGGAGCCCUCAGAUGGGGGCGGGGAGGGAGCCAUUCAGGGACGUCCUCCAUCGCAGCAGGCAGGAGCUGAGUGGCUGCUGGGAAGGGUGAAGACAUUCUCCUCUACACUCAGGAGGCACACGGGGCUCUCAGAUUAGACGGCACCGAGUGGGAAGGUGGUGGUUUCAUGAUCAAUUUCCUGACCAGAGCCACCUGCAGAGGAAUCUUUUUCCUGAAUACCAUAUUUUCUAAGCUAUUAGGAGCACAGCUUGGCAAUGACUGAGGGUGUCUGGACGGUGAGGUGUGCGCUGGGAAGCCUUGAGGUGCCGUCUGGUCUGGCGUGCCCCAAGGACACAUGUGGGGAGGGUGCCAGGCCCUGAGUCUGUGGGUGUUGUCAGGAGGUGGCCCCUCUUUUCCUGGUUCUUUGCCUGCUGGUGCUGGUCUGUGAAUGCCCUCGGGGCCUCCUCCUGGAAGAGCCUCUUCCCUGGGCCCGCUGAGCUGCAGAGGCUGCAGGUGCGUCUCUGCAUGUGGCUGCGCUUUGUGGGCUGUGUCCUUUCUCCUGCUGGCUGGGAUUGGCUGCUGAGGCGCCAAUCCUUCCUCUGCCCAGAUGUGGCUUGGUUCCGUUGGAGUCCAGUGUCAGAGGGCUGAGUUGGAUGUUUCUAGAUCAGCUGUGUCCACAGGGGCACUGGCCUCCUCGUCACAGUCCCUUCCCCGGGCCCGUCACUGGUGCUGGGCACCACACUUAGGCCUGGCCGUCCUCUGCCCAGGAGAAAAGGGGGAGUGGGUGCUGGGAGUGUGCACAGGUGUGUGUGCAGGGCUGUGGGUGUGCGCACACCUGCGUGUUUAAUCAUAAUACAAAGUGGGCCGGGAACCUCACCCUGAAGUGUGAAGGGCAGUGCGUCAUUUAGAAUCCUUCUCUUUUUCUCCUUCUUGAGCAGCUGAACGUUGAGAGGGGCCCCGUCUGGUGUGGCCGUGUCUGGUCCCCCAUGCAGGCCCUGCACCGUGGACUCCCAACCUGCGGGGAUCCGUCCCCAAAGACGCCACUAGUUCUGCCAGCCCAGGGUUUCCUGAGUGUUUCCCGAGAGGCCCUGGUUGCACGGAGUAAGUUCUAGUUUAGUCCUGGUUCGUUCUCCCCAAACGUCUCUCAGGAGCUGUGUUUCUUCUUCAUGACCUUCCCCUUAGACCUGUGUCAGAUCAGGGUUAGAGGUUGGUCUCCUGGCCUGUGUGGCCACCCUGGCGCCCUCGACGCUCUGCCAUGGGCUCCCUUUCUUUCAUCGGAGGCAGCAUCUGGCCAUAGUGAAACUGAGUGUGGGGAGGGGGACGCAGAGCUCCCAGGUCCCAGCCCACAGGUGCCUCGGUGGUGAAAUCCCCUGACACACUGAGUGGGGCUUCCAGGACGGGGGACGGAAGGAAAAGGAUUAAGGGGUUAGGUAAGUGCAAAUAUGGCUUUGAAGGUUUAAAAUCCUUCACUCAUGUUGUGAGGGAAGAACAGGUACUAGACUAGAAGCCAUGUCUGGUUGCCCUUGAGGGACCCCUCAGCCAAUGUGAAGACGUGUCCAGGCAGCCCUGGGAGACAUCCCUGUGGGGGGGCCAGUGCAGGAAACGGACCGCCGGGGGAAGCUCCUGUCAUCCCAGGGUGGGCCAGGCUGGGACUACAGUCAUGUGCACAGCAUGGCUGAGAUAAUGAGCAAGACUCCAAGGUCCACCCAGGGGCCCGAUGGCCUUUAGGGAGACCUAGCACUGUUGCAGGAUCAGGAGGACCGGAGAGAGACCUUGGAGUGUACACAGGAGGAUAUCUUUAUCAUUGAGUGCACUCAGACCCAGCAGACUCAAUGUCCAAAGACUGGGCCCAGAACAAAGACAGCGCCUGACUUUUACACACACUUCACAAAAGGGGGUGGGCUAGCUUGAAGCAAGCUUACAGUGGCGUGAAAGCAGGGAUACAGAGGCAGGACAAACUCAGGAUUGCACAUGACUGUUGCCAAGCAACCCACAUGUCCGUUAUCUAGGUUAACCUGGGCACGGGCUUAUCCCAUAACCUUCACUAUGUUGCCCAGGUGGCCGUAACUCAGGCCUGCUCAGAGGCUCAUGACCUUCACUUUACUGCUUAGAUAAAACAAUGCUUGAAGUCAAUAGUUACAGAGAACAGGAAUUUAUAAACUCAUUCCAUAAAACAAAGGAAAAUUUGUUUUUCUUCUCCCUAUAUUGAGGGAGUGCUGGGAGAGUCUCCAGAGCACAUUAGAUAAUAUUAUUAUUAAGACUUUUCCUGGGUUUGGGCUGUGCUUGUUGCUGCCUCUAGGACAAGUUAGCCUAAUACGGGAAAGCUUAUUUCUCUUUCUUUUUAAUUUUAUUUUUCUUUAAUUUCCCACCUCAACACGACCUGAACGUGGCUUAGUCUGCUGCUGGUGUUUGUGGAGGGCUGAAUAGUGUCCUUAGGAAAUAUGUUCAAGCCCUAACCUGUGAACACAGACAUUUUUGGAAAUGGGUUAUUGCAGAUGUUAUGCAUUAGGAUGACCUCAUGAUGGAUUAGGGUGGGCCCUAAAUCCAAUGACCAGCAUGCUUUUAAGAAGGGGAAAUGUGUGCACAGACACACAGGGAAGGUACGGUGAAGCCGGAGGGAGAGAAGAAGGGACGCGUCUACACUCCAAGUGCAGAGAGAAAAGGUUCAGGGUUGAGGCUCCUGAAACAAGACGGAUUCACCAGAGAAAAGCGAACAAAUGUAUUUUAGUUUUAUGUGACUUGGAGCCUUCGUAAGGAAAUGAAGACCCAGAGCCAGGUGGACCUGUGUGUUUGUGCUUUGGCUUGAUGAAGAGGGGAUGGCCGUGGGGAAACGUGGAUGAGGACGGGAGGCUGUGAUGUGAUGGGUGAACUGGGCACCUCAGCACGGCCUGUGUGCCCGGGGGAGAGGGGAUAGGUGAGCAGGGAAAUGACUGUGUUGACUAUACACAGCCACCACCUAAACCUCAGUGUUUGCUUUGUAAUUGAGCUCACGCAAGCAAAGCUAUCUCCAGCGGGGACUCUCUUCUAAAGAGCACGCACACUUUAAUUUUUACCUGUCCUCGAACCAACCCUUUGUUCAUUAUAACAGUGAAAAAGAUACCCCUGGGUGGAGAUGUAAGAUGCUAAUGAGACACACCACCUACAAACAAGCAUGUGUGCCGACGACCACCAGACUGUGCUUCCUGAUAACACCUCUCCCACUUUCUUUUUUUUUUAAGGUGGGGUCUAGAUCUAUCCCCAGUCUGGAGUGCAGUGGUGAGAUCUCAGCUCACCACAGCCUCUGCCUCCCAGGUUCAAGCGAUUCUCCUGCCUCAGCCUCCUGAGUAGCUGGGAUUAUAGGCAUGCGCCACCAUGCCCAGCUAAUUUUGUAUUUUUUUUUAGUAGAGACGAGGUUUCUCCAUGUUGGUCAGGCUGGUCUUGAACUCCCGACCUCAGAUGAUCCACUCGCCUUGGCCUCCCAAAGUGCUGAGAUUACAGGCAUGAGCCCCCAUGCCCGGCUACCUCUCCCAUCUUCUUAUGGAUCAUCGGGUGAGACUCCCAUAAAGGCAGCCUCCCUAUGGCCGGUCUCUGCUGUCUCACCCUCAUGACCCACCCUGAGUCCUUUCUCCCUUAGGGUGGCCUGUCUAUUCUGCACCUCACUUUCAAAAUACUCUUUUUUUUUUU
rnacentral:lncRNA from 1 species